rnacentral:lncRNA from 1 species
UACCGCCUGCGCCCACAGUCGUUCGCCUAGAGCGCCCCUGGCCGAAUUCUAGGCUUUCCUGGGGGCAGCAGCACCCCUACUUCGCCCUGGGGAACCCGAGUCCUGAUCUGGAGCCCCUCGCCCCCAGGAGACCUCUGCUCCCUUUGCCAUCGCCCUGUUCACCUGUGUGCCCUCUAAGCCCUGCAGAGAGACUGGGAGUACGGUGACAAGCCAUCCAGACACAGAACAAGAGGAAGGGGCUGCUAACAGCAGGUGGGUGCUCUUUCCUCUCCUAGAAGGUAGGUCCACAGGGCACCUGGGUAACUCAGUCGGUUUAGUGUCCCAUUCUUCAUUUCAGCUCACGUCAUGGCAUUGAGCCCUGCCGUCGGGCUCUGUGUGCUUCCUGUGGAAUCUGCCUGUGCCUCAACCUCUGCUCCUCACCCCUCUUGUGCGCACACGCCCUCCCCCAACCAUCUCUAAAAUAAAUAAGUAAAAUCUUUAAAAUAAGGUAGGUCC